rfam:Kocuria polaris strain CMS 76or contig01, whole genome shotgun sequence.
CCGUGCCGAUCUGGUCGGCGCCGAUGAAGUGGAUGUGGGAGUCGAUCCCGCCCGCGGUGAGGAUCCGGCCCUCGCCGGCGAUCACCUCGGUGGAGGCGCCGAUCAGGAUGUCGACGCCGUCCAUGAUGUCCGGGUUGCCGGCCUUGCCGAUCCCGCUGAUGUGCCCGUCCCGGAUGCCGACGUCCGCCUUGUAGAUCCCGGAGGCGUCGAGCACCACGGCGUUGGUGACCACGGUGUCCACCACGCCGUCGUCCCGGGUCAGCCGCCCGUUGUGGCCCAUGCCGUCCCGG